rnacentral:tRNA from 1 species
GGUGCCGUAGGCAAAUCGGUAAAGCCGCAAGUCUUUCAAACUUGUGUUUGCGGGUUCGAUUCCCGUCGGCACUGCCA